UACGUAGGGUCCGAGCGUUGUCCGGAAUUAUUGGGCGUAAAGGGCUCGUAGGCGGUUCGUCACGUCGGGAGUGAAAACUCGGGGCUUAACCCCGAGCCUGCUUCCGAUACGGGCAGACUAGAGGUAGGCAGGGGAGAGCGGAACUCUUGGUGUAGCGGUGGAAUGCGCAGAUAUCAGGAAGAACACCGGUGGCGAAGGCGGCUCUCUGGGCCUUACCUGACGCUGAGGAGCGAAAGCGUGGGUAGCGAACAGG
rnacentral:rRNA from 1 species